rnacentral:tRNA from 1 species
GCUUCCGUAGCUCAGUUGGUUAGAGCUUCGUACUAAUACCGGAUUCCCAAUUGAUCUGAUGUUGGUAAUGCGAAGGUCGCAGGUUCAAGCCCUGCCGGGAGCA